AUGCAGAUGACGGAAUCACCGUUUUUGCCGCGUGAAAGGCUUUUUAAGCAGCAGCAGUAUUUCCAGAGCUUGAGCAAGCACACUCACCUGAAAGGGCGUUACGAUGCGAUCACCUCCGUUGGCAUCCCCCUCGCGCUCGCUGCAUCAAGCCUAUUCAUGAUUGGCCGUGGUGUCUACAACAUGUCUCACGGAAUCGGGAAAAAGGAGUGA
rnacentral:rRNA from 1 species